UACGGAGGGUGCAAGCGUUUAAUCGGAAUUACUGGGCGUAAAGGGUGCGUAGGCGGUUGUUUAAGUCUGUUGUGAAAUCCCCGGGCUCAACCUGGGAAUGGCAAUGGAUACUGGGCAGCUAGAGUGUGUCAGAGGAUGGUGGAAUUCCCGGUGUAGCGGUGAAAUGCGUAGAGAUCGGGAGGAACAUCAGUGGCGAAGGCGGCCAUCUGGGGACAACACUGACGCUGAAGCACGAAAGCGUGGGGGAGCAAACAGG
rnacentral:rRNA from 1 species